rnacentral:lncRNA from 1 species
UGAAAGGAAAUAAUAUCAUUUACGAGUAUUGAAAGAAAAUAACAUCAUUUACCUUAGUAGAAAACUAGAUAUGACUGGUAGAACAAAUAUUAUUCUGAGAAAAUCUUGCACCAUAAACUACACUCAAAGUAUCCUUAUUAAAAAAUACUCACAAUAUUGUAGUAGAAACAUUUAUGUUUUUGGUGUCUUUAGGAUGAAGGGAUAACCUCCCUUUUAUAGUGCAACACGGAAGAAAAAAAAUAAACAAACCUGCCUAAUUUUUCUCUACCAAACCUUCUCUUUCUUUGCCUAACUUUAUUUCUUUCUUUCUUUUAAUUGGUUAAAGGCCCAUAAUUUGGAAAUGAUUUGUAGGAGAAGGUUUUGCCACCAAUUAGGAAAUAAGAAUCGCACGAAAGUUUUUUGAAAAGUGAUUUCAAACUCAAUUUGUUAACAUCCUCCCCAUUUACUCACAUGCCAGGAAAC